rnacentral:lncRNA from 1 species
UUGUGAGCCGGAUAGGGUUGCUUACCGUCUCCAUUCUCUCUUCCCAGCCUCCUCUGCAGUCAAAACAUAUCUUUCCAGCUCGAGAGAUCGCUCUGUGUUUCCCACAUCUUCAAAGUGAACAAGCGUUUUCUCUGUCACCGCCUCUCUCUCUCUCUUCCUCAAGUAGCAAAGUAGAAAUUCUUGGUUGCUUUCUGGCUUCGAUUUCUUAGAGAAACUGAGUUUGCUGAUCUAGGUAAGGGUAAAGGCCCCUUGUUGUUAAAACCCAAGAUCCCUUUCCUCUGCGCCACCUUCCCUCUUCUCUGUGACGCCGAGCUCUUCCUCCGACUCUGCCGCCGCCGCCCUGGAAAUUGUCUUCAUUUAUAUAACUGUUGUGGGUUUUCAUUAUGAUGACUGGAGGAGCAUUCAAAUCUCCGAAAGUUUCAAUUUUUCCUUCUUGUUUGUGUUUGAUUUGUUUUGAAUUGUGAAGUGAGUAUUGGGUUUUCUCUGUGAUGAUGAAAACAGAUGACAAGUCCGAUCCAUUCAUUCAUUAAAUCAUGAGGACAAAAUGAGUCAUUUGU